rnacentral:rRNA from 1 species
GACGAACGCUGGCGGCGUGCCUAAUACAUGCAAGUCGUACGCUUCUUUUUCCACCGGAGCUUGCUCCACCGGAAAAAGAAGAGUGGCGAACGGGUGAGUAACACGUGGGUAACCUGCCCAUCAGAAGGGGAUAACACUUGGAAACAGGUGCUAAUACCGUAUAACAAUCGAAACCGCAUGGUUUUGAUUUGAAAGGCGCUUUCGGGUGUCGCUGAUGGAUGGACCCGCGGUGCAUUAGCUAGUUGGUGAGGUAACGGCUCACCAAGGCCACGAUGCAUAGCCGACCUGAGAGGGUGAUCGGCCACAUUGGGACUGAGACACGGCCCAAACUCCUACGGGAGGCAGCAGUAGGGAAUCUUCGGCAAUGGACGAAAGUCUGACCGAGCAACGCCGCGUGAGUGAAGAAGGUUUUCGGAUCGUAAAACUCUGUUGUUAGAGAAGAACAAGGAUGAGAGUAACUGUUCAUCCCUUGACGGUAUCUAACCAGAAAGCCACGGCUAACUACGUGCCAGCAGCCGCGGUAAUACGUAGGUGGCAAGCGUUGUCCGGAUUUAUUGGGCGUAAAGCGAGCGCAGGCGGUUUCUUAAGUCUGAUGUGAAAGCCCCCGGCUCAACCGGGGAGGGUCAUUGGAAACUGGGAGACUUGAGUGCAGAAGAGGAGAGUGGAAUUCCAUGUGUAGCGGUGAAAUGCGUAGAUAUAUGGAGGAACACCAGUGGCGAAGGCGGCUCUCUGGUCUGUAACUGACGCUGAGGCUCGAAAGCGUGGGGAGCAAACAGGAUUAGAUACCCUGGUAGUCCACGCCGUAAACGAUGAGUGCUAAGUGUUGGAGGGUUUCCGCCCUUCAGUGCUGCAGCUAACGCAUUAAGCACUCCGCCUGGGGAGUACGACCGCAAGGUUGAAACUCAAAGGAAUUGACGGGGGCCCGCACAAGCGGUGGAGCAUGUGGUUUAAUUCGAAGCAACGCGAAGAACCUUACCAGGUCUUGACAUCCUUUGACCACUCUAGAGAUAGAGCUUCCCCUUCGGGGGCAAAGUGACAGGUGGUGCAUGGUUGUCGUCAGCUCGUGUCGUGAGAUGUUGGGUUAAGUCCCGCAACGAGCGCAACCCUUAUUGUUAGUUGCCAUCAUUUAGUUGGGCACUCUAGCAAGACUGCCGGUGACAAACCGGAGGAAGGUGGGGAUGACGUCAAAUCAUCAUGCCCCUUAUGACCUGGGCUACACACGUGCUACAAUGGGAAGUACAACGAGUCGCGAAGUCGCGAGGCUAAGCUAAUCUCUUAAAGCUUCUCUCAGUUCGGAUUGUAGGCUGCAACUCGCCUACAUGAAGCCGGAAUCGCUAGUAAUCGCGGAUCAGCACGCCGCGGUGAAUACGUUCCCGGGCCUUGUACACACCGCCCGUCACACCACGAGAGUUUGUAACACCCGAAG